GGAGCGGACACGCAUCCUUGUUUCUGAACAAGGGAAUCAGGUGAAAUUCCUGGACAUGUUUUGCAGCAGGAGCCGUGGCGAAAGCUACGGGGACGUGCAAUUCAAUAGCUGUGAUUGUGGAGUAUAUCUGUUUUCUGCGAAAGCAGGUCACUGGCGGUCGUAAUGGCUUAGCUGGGAAGGCGGCGGAUAUGCGUAGGCGGGCUUUAGGCCCGUCGGGACACAUCAGUCAGAAGACCUACUAGGAGCUUACCCCCAAUU
rnacentral:ncRNA from 22 species